AGAGUUUGAUCAUGGCUCAGAAUCAACGCUGGCGGCGCGCCUAACACAUGCAAGUCGAACGAGAAAGUGGAGCAAUCCAUGAGUACAGUGGCGUACGGGUGAGUAACACGUGGGUAAUCUACCUUUUAGUGAGGAAUAACCAAGGGAAACUUUGGCUAAUACCGCAUAAGCCUGAGAAGGGAAAGCAGCAAUGCGCUGAAAGAGGAGCCCGCGGCCGAUUAGCUAGUUGGUGAGGUAAGAGCCCACCAAGGCAGAGAUCGGUAGCCGGCCUGAGAGGGCACACGGCCACACUGGCACUGAAACACGGGCCAGACUCCUACGGGAGGCAGCAGUGGGGAAUCUUGCACAAUGGGGGAAACCCUGAUGCAGCGACGCCGCGUGAGCGAUGAAGCCCUUCGGGGUGUAAAGCUCUUUCGUCAGGGAAGAUAGUGACGGUACCUGGAGAAGCAGCUGCGGCUAACUACGUGCCAGCAGCCGCGGUAAUACGUAGGCAGCAAGCGUUGUUCGGAGUUACUGGGCGUAAAGGGUGUGUAGGCGGUUCCUUAAGUUUGCUGUGAAAUCUCCCGGCUUAACCGGGAGGGUGCGGUGAAUACUGAGGGACUAGAGUACGGGAGAGGAAAGUGGAAUUCCUGGUGUAGCGGUGAAAUGCGUAGAUAUCAGGAGGAACACCGGUGGUGUAGACGGCUUUCUGGACCGUAACUGACGCUGAGACACGAAAGCGUGGGUAGCAAACAGGAUUAGAUACCCCAGUAGUCC
rnacentral:rRNA from 1 species